GGGGAACGGACAAUACAUUUGUGUCCUCCACUGUUUGGCAGUUUAUCGUCUCCCAAACACGGUUAAAGACUUUUUGAAGUAAAGAGGAGCAUCUCAUCUGGACCUGAUGUCUAUCAUGGAUAUCUAACUGCAGUACUGUGAGUAUCCCAACAUUAACAUGAAGAUGAACUGCAAACUGUAAGUCAUUAGUUUCUCAUUACUCUUGGGCACAUUGAUGUAUGUUGGCUUCCUGGUGAGUUAACCCGUUAGCUGAAGGUUGAUCUGAUUAGUAAGGAUCUUUUAUUGGUUCAUGGGUUACGUAGGCGUUUGGUUUAUGUUGGUUUUAAUGGUUUGUUAAAAUGGUUUCAGGUUCUAAGUUAUUGUUGUAAGCUGGAGUAAUGAGUUGGGUUCUGAUAUCUUCAGUCUUCUUUACAGCCACUCUCCUGAGCUCUGCAUCUUCAUUACAUGAGUGUUGCUUUACUGAGGAGGGUGUGGUCUGAGUGAGAAGAGGUGCAUACUGGGAUACAGAGCUGUCUGAAGUCUACAGGUCUGUAGACACGCCCCCUCAGGGGAAACCGAGUGUUUGAGAAACCGUCGUGACGUCAGUUACAUGGACUGGAAUGUUCUUUAAGAUGGAGACAGGGAUUCAGAAGGAGAAACACCAGGGGGAGAUGAGGGGGCUCCUCAUCUCAACGACUAAAACACAACUUCAGUCUGACACAGAGAACCAUGGAACACAUUCAACAGUCCCCCCCAGGCAUCGUGACUCCUCAGGAACAGUUUCAUUCCAGAGAAGGUCUCAUUUGGGGCCAUUCCAAGAUGGAUCCUGCUCCUCAAGAGCCACCCCCCUCCACUGGGUGGUCUUCUGAACAAAUGACGUCUUUCCUGUCAUCAGGCUGACUAAAGCUGCACCGUUUGCAUCUGUGAAGGCCCCUCAAUCACUAAACCACUGGACUACAAACACAUGACUUCAGAGAUGUUGAAAGAGCGUGAAUGGAGACACCAAGCAUAAUCCAUCACCAAUGUGGGAUGCCACUGAAGAAUGUUGUACAUAAUUUACGUCUCUGGAGAUAUUGGUGGUUCUGUUCUGGGUGCCCUGACAGAAGAGCUGGGGGUGGAUGAUGGAAUGUUAUUUGGCAUGAGGUUUUUACCCUGCAUGAAUUUUUGGUCUUUUAUGGCUCAGUGGUGUGUGUGGGUUUGACAUGAGAUGGAAGAUUUUUGAGCAUCGCUAGGCUUCUAGUGUGUGUGUGUGUGUGUGUGUGUCCCACUCACACCCGGCACGGGGUUCUACGUGUGGGUUCUGCGUCCUGCUUCCUGCUUGCUUUGACAUUGAUCAUUUUCAUACGGGGGUCUGUGUGAUUGGCUUGGUGUAUUGGAAUGGUCAACUAAGUCAUACCUGCUGGAAGGCCACACGUUUACUUGAGGCCUCCAGGAGACAUGAAGAGCCCUGAGCGACGCUCCGGAGCGAUAUCCUACACACUGGGCAGGAAGGAGAGUAUCCAAAUCAAGUGUAAAAGGAUGCAAGCGCCGUGUUCAGAUCAGCGACUUCAAACUCGGACUACACCAAUCAGGAUCAAUGGAGGAUGGACACCUAAAGGCAUUCCACAAGGACUCUGAAGUUGGAAAGCGACCUCAAUGGAUGUUCAAGAUGACAUUCAGACCUGUAAUGAGGCGGAUCUUCCUAACUGGCUGGAUUGAUGGAGAGCCCUGUGGAUCUUGUCUUGCUCUCAGUUGCACGUCUUCUCAGGCUGAACUAUAUUUGCUGCACAGGACGAGCUGAACGAUCGGUUCCCUUAAAUCGGAACCAAUCUGGGAACUCCAACUACUGCGCUCUUCAAGCUGAAGUUGUGCUCUUCAGCUGAGGAGGCAAGGAAACCUUCACUGGGGCUACAAUGUGUAUAGAGGAGACCGUUUCGAAGUGUUCCAUGGUACUCUGAUGAAGACCGUUGUUGUGUUUCGCUGACUGAGAGGAAGAACCCUCACAUCCUCCUCUUGGCCUUUCUCCUCUGAGAAUCCUGGUGCCAUCUUGAAGUAUAUUCCAGCUCAUGUAACUGAUGUCACGACAGAUUCUCAAACACUUGGUUUCUCCUAAGGGGCGUGUCUAUAGAACUGAAGACUUCAGACAGCACUGUAUCCCAGCACUCAUCUCUGCUCACUCAGACCACACCCUCAUGAGUAGGAUGCAACACUAUAGCGAUGGAGAUGUAGAGUUUUAUAAGUAAAGAGGGAGCAGACAAAGGUCAUUCGAACACAUUUGCAAUUUAAGUCUUUAAAUCUUUAAACCAUGAAGAUGGUUGGAUAGUUCAGGAAUUGGGCUUAAUUUUAUUAUGGGCAGUCCUUUCGCUCAAAUGCCCACUUCUCACUGGACCUGUACAUGUGUUGGUUGGCUGGCAUGAUUUGCUGUUGGUAGUGAGGCGGUCAGGGUGACAUUGCUUGGCUAUGGUCGGCUCUCUGUGAGCUCACUGUUUAGAUUUGAUCUGUAUGGUUUGUACCCUGAAUAUCGAUAAUUGUUUUUAAUUUUAAAAUGUAGACACGGGUUUUGUAUUGAAUUAUUCCAUUGUUUUUAAGCAAGGAGUUGAGGUUUAAAGUUGUUGUGGAACGUACAUGGUAGUUCGGUUCUUCGUACGGUUUUGAGUGAUAUAACUUGUACACACUGGGUGCAUAAUAAUGUAAAGGUACACUGAAUAGCAGUAAUGACCAACAGCAACAAACAGAUCACAUCAAGGUAAGUCUGUUGGCUGUGUUUUAAUGAAGACCAUCGCCGGACUUCAGGAUCUUCCUCCGUUCAGCUCAAGGUGAGGCGCUGGUUCUGUUAUUACUUUGGUUGGUUCCGGCCGGAAUGUUCGGAUUCCAGUCGGACGGUUUGUGCUUCCCGCCGUGGAAGGUUCUGUGUGCGUUCACUUGAUUUAGUCUCAAUGGUUAGCAUAGAACGUUGUCGACUUGACAACCAUAAGAACCCACGUGGCCGUUAGUUGGACGUGAAAGGGUAUCUGGCGGAACGUUCUAGAUGUAUUUGCAUAUCUUCGAGCCGUUGCCAACAGAAACUAUUUUCCAUUAGGAAUUGUUGCCCCUUAUCUUAAACUAAUUACUUUUGAUAUUGAAUGCACACUGACGCGUACAUCGUAAAAUAUGUUGAUCAUUUCCGACUGUUGCGCCGACUUUAACCACGUUGACGGGACUCUCGCUGCGUUCAAAACAGCGUUCUACUUGCGGGCCCAUUUCUGAUCAUCAGUGAAGGCUGAAGAUCAUUUCAAGGUGGAUGACAAUUUGGCAUUUCUUCAACGGAACCCUGCACCUGAAUAUGGCAUGAGUAUUAAUAUGAGUAUAUUUGAUUUAAUAUCGAUACUGCUUAGUGUUCUUUGUUACUUCAGCUUUCGUACGUUCUAAAUAUCUGGUGUUAAUAAUUGCCACAGAAGUAAAACCCUACCCAAUGGAAUGACGUUAAACAACGACUUUGGUCCUUAGUUACCAACUGGAUAAUAACAAAGCUUAAAUAAUGGCUGUCUUUCCCACAUGUUACAGUAGAAGAAACUCUAGAACUGCACAAGGUUAAAAAGGUAACAUGUAGUUAGUCCCAAGGUGUCUGCCUCCUCACCCAGAGCCAGACCUCCACCUCCUCACCCAGAGCCAGACCUCCACCUCCUCACCCAGAGCCAGACCUCCACCUCCUCACCCAGAGCCAGACCUCCACCUCCUCACCCAGAGCCAGACCUCCACCUCCUCACCCAGAGCCAGACCUCCACCUCCUCACCCAGAGCCAGACCUCCACCUCCUCACCCAGAGCCAGACUUCCCACCUCCUGUCAGAAGUCCUCCAGAACAGGCGAGGCUGAGAGGCUGGGGACCGGAGGCUUGUGGUGCCAGAGUGGACCGGAGAUUGAGGCUGGAGACCAGGGGCCUGCAGCACCGGACCAGAGGACCAGGAAUCCAUGGCUGAAGGGGCUGAUGGAGGAGCCGUGCUGAAGAACCUGCCUGAUGGAGAAGCCGUGCUGAAGGCCCUGCCUGGUGGAGGAGCUGAUGGAGGCCCUGCCUGGUGGAGGAGCUGAUGGAGGCCCUGCCUGGAGGAGGAACUGAUGGAGGCCCUGCCUGGUGGAGGAGCUGAUGGAGGCCCUGCCUGGUGGAGGAGCUGAUGGAGGCCCUGCCUGGUGGAGGAGAUGAUGGAGGCCCUGCCUGGUGGAGGAACUGAUGGAGGCCCUGCCUGGUGGAGGAUUCCUGUCGUUGGACCUUGAAUCUGUCUCAAGAGAGCUGGUGGAGGAGCUGAGAAGCUGUAAGACGAUUAGGAAUUAUCCAACAAGGAUUCCUCACGUUGGGGCCAGAUUUGAGCUGUUUGUUCCAGACCAGGACUCUGGCUGAGGAGAGCUGAUGGAGGAGCCAAGACUCUGGAGGACGACAUCACUCUAUCAACAAGGAUCCUCAGCCAAAUUACGUUUGUAACCAGACCAGGAAUCUGGAGGACUGACGGAGAAGCCAUACCUCUGGAAGGCAAAUCCUGAGGACGACCAGGACUCUACCAUCAAGGAUUCCUCACACACCUGAACUGAACCUCACCUGAUCCUGCUUGGUCGGGGUCAGACUCACCUGAGCUGAACCCCACCUGAUCCUGCUGGUCCUGUCUCCUCAGUUCAUUUUAGCCUCGUCUUCCAGAAGACCUGCUGAACUCAGCGUUCUGAUCCUGAUGGAUCAAUGACCUCCAGUGGGAGUGAUCUUCUUGACCCUACAUGUACCCGUGUGCUUCCACACGCCUUACCCUCACGUCUGUCACUAACCUCACUACUUCACUAAUCUCUACUCCUUCCCUUCUUCUUCCUUCUCCCUGGUUCGAACCUUUACUCUGAAGGAGUGUCUUCUUGAACCUUUACACUGAAGGACCGUCUUCCUGCCCUCAGAGGGUUCAGUGUUACGGUUGAGAGUCAGGGUUUAGAGUCAGGGACAGAGCUGGUUAGGGUUUUACACAAACCUCUUCACUUGCUUUUGUGAAUGGUGGUGACAUUUUGAAAUUAUUAAUUUCUGAAAAUAUUUUCCUCUGCUUUCCUUUACAAAAGUAUGUAUUCAACUUCUGUCAAGUGUUUUCGUUUAUACUGUAUAUUAAAAUCUUACAUUGACUUCUG